AGGCCGAUAGCUCAAUUGGUUAGAGCACCAAGCUUAUACCUUGGUGGUUGCAGGUUCGAGUCCUGCUCGGCCUA
rnacentral:tRNA from 1 species